AGCAAAAUUGCCCUAAGCAGUUGUCAGAAACCACUGGAGUAGUAUUUUAAAUGCAGAGUAUUUGAAGAAAAUAAAAGAUACCGAGCGUCCUAUCUGUCUGGAUCCCGGAUCUUGUGUGUCGUGAAAAGUUAGACAACAGAAGCAGAGGGCUUAAAGCAGCACAUGCCUUUCUUGAGCCGUUUUCCAUCAUCUAAUGAAACAACCUGGUUCUAGAAGGAGGAUUUGGCCCCAGCGGCAGUGAGGUGGCAGCAGGGCACUCACUCUGAGAAAUGGCGCUGUGCUUCUGGGUGGCUCUGAGGAUGCAGUGUGUGACUGACACGACAGGCUGCUGAGAGCACUACCAGUGUAAGAUUUUGUUCAGAUCAAGGUGAAGACUGGAAGGAAGUUCAGCAGGUUGCCCCUGAAGGAUGGGCUCCAUGGUACAGAGCCGUGUUGGAACAGUGCUCAAAGUGCUGCAGCCUGUGGGAAGCCCACGCAGGAUCAUCCCAUGGGUGGGACCUCACCCUGCAGCAAGGGCAGGGAGCAACCAUGGUGGAGAGGCAGAGACGAAGAGUUAUGGACUGCCCACAGCCCCCAUUGCCCGUAUCCCUGCACCACUCAGGGGAGGAGUAAGAAGAGAGUGGAUAGAGAAAAGGUGCUUGUAGUUUGCAUUUAGUUCUCACUGCUCUAUUCUGUUAUUAGCAGGCAAUAAAUCACCUUAAUCUCCCUUAAGUUGAGUGAUGGUAACUGAUGAGUGAUCUCCCUGUCCUUAUCUCAGCCCAUGAGCCUUUUUUUAUCCCCUGCUCUGUUGAGGAGAGAGAGGGAAAGCAGCAUGGUGGAGCUGAGAGCUGCCUGUCACAGCAGAACCACCACAAUUCUACAUGAAAAGAACUGAUACUGCAGUAGCACAGAAGGAACAAGGAAAAAGGAAGGGUUAAAUUAAUAUCCACAGAAACUGACAUAGUAUUAUGAUAUUAGCAUUGUGCAAUACCAAUAAGGCACAUAUCAAAUGGAUUAAAAACUGGCUGACAGAUCUAAAAAAAACAGGCAUCAACUGGGAAUUGAGAUUGAAUGAAUGUUCCCAAUGUUCCUCUGGGGUCUGUACAAGGCCUAAUAUUCUUUAGCAAUUUCACCAAUAGUCAUAUAAACAUAUCCCUAAGUACAGUUUGUGAAUGACAUGAGUUUGGCAGGAUGGUAUACAGUGAUGAAGACUGGGCAGUCAAACAGAAACUGAGAAUUAUUCAAAGGACAGUUCCCUGCAGUAACAAUGAAAAAAUUAAGAAGUUCCAUAUGUUUAUUUUAUCAGGGAGAAGAUGGGAAGAGGCGAGUUUUAUGUACAAGAAACUGACAGGAGAAAAUUGCAAGUGAGAAAGAACGCUUCCAUCUAGAAGGAGAACCAUAGUCUGGAAACUUAAGACAGUAAGCUAGAACUGAAAUUAAAGUGCCUUUUUAACCAUAACUGUUAAAACCAGAGAUAUACCGACUAUGUUUCAUGGUCUCUUAAAACCAAGAGGAAGACAUACUUCAGCCAAAACAGGAGGGUCUUUUCUGUUUAAUAUAAGAAAAACUGUAAAGACAUAUAAACAGACAUAUAAGCAGGCAAAUCAUAUUCUAUGAUCUACACACAUGAGUAUAGAUCUACACAAAUUUACCAGAGCCAAUGUUUCCUUCUCUGCCUCUGGUAUGAGGAAUGAAAAAAGAUCACUUACUCUUGUAUCUAUCUAUGUAAGAGUUCAAACAAAACUCUGAGAGCUUGUUUUACAUUUGGAAUCCAGACUGUAUUUGUUUCUUAACACAUCCUGAGUUUCUUAUCAAGACAACUGCUUACCAACCACUGUCUUCUAGGGAGGUGGAUUAUCAUUGUUUAAUCUUACCUUAAGGAAUGUUAUGAAAGAAAAAGCUAAUCAGAUAUUUAGAACGUGUAACUAAGUCUGCAGUACAGCUUGCCUUGCAGCACUGCAACUUGCUAGAGAGAACAGUCCUUAUUUGUUAGCUACAAACCUGAAGUAAAACACAGGGAAGACGUGCAACUACUUUUAGCUUAGGAAAUACUAUCAGACUAACCAUGAGAAUACUACCAUCACAUAUGCUUUGAACAUGAUGGCAUUACAGCGUGCCUCAAUGUUGAUUUUAGAAUAAUUAGAACCACAAUAGAACUUUGGCUAUUUUCUACUUUUAUCAAUAACAAUAAUUAAUAACCGUUAGCAUCCCCCCUCCUCUUCCAUUCUGUAGUAUAUUUUUAUCUCCUAGAAACUUGCUGAGCCGGUUGCAUUAGCAGAAAUGGUACAUCUAUUCAAAACAAUGUGACUAAAAGCAGAAUCUGUUUGCUUUUACAUGAUUGGAACAAAAGGUUUCAUUGCUGCUAUUACAGCUCGAUAGCAUUUCAUAAUGAAUUCUGAAAUUUUGGGGAAGUCAGAUUGCAGUAUUGGUUUGACAUCAGACAUUUUAUUGUUCAGAUGUAGGAUCACGACCAUGUCCAUCCAGUCUGUGAAAACUUUAGUUUUUCUUUAGAUAUUAAGAAGAGCGUUGAAGCAAUCCCCAAAAAGCUUGGGCCUCAGGAAAGAAAUCUAAAAGACAAACAAUGUUAAAGCUUGGUCAGACACGAUUACAUGGCUGACAAUUACAUAUGAUAACAAUUAAAAUUAUCUGAUUCCAGCCAUAUGGCAUCUUAAUACCGCAGAUCUCCAAGCAAAUAAUGUGUCACAGAAUAGGUUUUGAUUGAUGUUGUCAGCAGCCUUUUGAACGUUACAAAUACCUUAGCUUCAAUGUCCCAGAAACCAGUGGAGACUACUGACCUCAUCCCAAACUGGAAGCAUUUGCAUGUACCUCCCUGGUUUAAAGUGUUCUCUAACCUAAAGUCCUUGGUUUACUAGAUGGUUCGAUACAUGCAUACAUAGCAUCCAGCUACUUACUUCCAGUUACAAAUAGCUCAGCUAAUGCAUGCAUUAGUGGUUUUAGCAAGAGCCCUAGAUGUUUUCUGUGAGGCCUUUAAGUUACCUGCCAGUACAGCUCAGAGAAGAUAAGUCUGAUUACAAGCCAGCUGAAGCACUCCAAACAAUUGCUGAAGUCCCUGUGUUGGCUGGCAAAGAGAACCUAACCAGAGAGUAUGAGGAGCUGCCAAGGAGCUGCCACUGAGCAGCAUGAGCCUACUCUACUGCCAACUUUAAUUUGCGUUAAAAAAAUAGGGAUGAGUUAAUGAUUGCUAAACCAACAAAUCAUCCUCCUAUUGGAGGAGCCCCAGAGGACAUUCUGUCUCCAGUGGUGAUAUAACCAGUAAGCAAACACAUUGUCACAUUGCUUAGAAUGGGCGUACAAAAAAACAGAGGGGAUCUGACCAGGAAUUUGGAGCAUUUUCGUGGUGCCAGUCCCCACACAUGUUCUUGGCUUAGCCUUCUGCUCCUCAUUUUCCUCCUGACCAACAUGAGGGCACAGCCCAAAAACUACUCUUCAGAUCUGUGAUGCAAGUUUUAUUGUUUCCUUCUGUAUGCUGCUAAAUAGGAAGAGAAACAUAAUGUCUUAAAAACGAAUUGAGGAAUAAUACCAUACAUUUGUUAGAAGGGUAGUUUUGCUACCAUUGUUGUUUUAAAAAAACAUCUUUUUCUGUUUUGGCAUCUAAGUUAUGGUUGCAACAUCUUAGCUGGAAAAACAGCUGUCUUCUAAUCAUGGCUGCAGUGCACACAGUUGUCCCACUGUAGCCUGUAGAGGCCUAGAGUGCAUGAGAGCAUGCUGAGAAUGGAGGUUUAGUUAAGAUAUUGCAACAACUUUUUAGUGUUGUUGACAGACAGCAAAAAUCUUGUGUUGUUCACUGCAGUUUCAUUGUUCUAACAGCACGUUUUCCAGACACAAAGCAAGAUCCCGACUAUGUUUUAAAUGUAUGGGAGUUUAUAUCAAAUGCAUUGAAUUUUUUUCCCAUUCUUUAUUGCAGAACAACUGAAGAUCAAGAAUUGCAAGAGAUCACACUAAAAUUCAAGAGGCAAACGAAGAGAUAAUCCUCAAGGGCUGACACAGCAGAUACUCAUGGCACCUCAGUCAUAACUGUAUUUCUGCUCUGAGUUCACAGCUCUGCAGUGCACAUCGCAGUUUUAUCAGAAUGGCCUUUCCAGUAAGAAGUGGUAAUUUGAUUGCAUGAUGGGUCAUCUGAAGAAAAUAUAUCGGUUUUCGAAUACUAAUGAGAGGAAAUAUCUAGUAUGUCCAUAUUUAAUUGAAAUCAUAUGUUGCUCUUCUGCAAGAAAAGCUAUGUUCAUUGUAUUUAUGCAUGAAAACUGGCUAGCAUCAUGGAAGAACAGAUUUUCCAGGAGAGCACUGAAGCAUCAGCCCAUUGCAACAUACCACACAGGACAGAAACUCAGCAUCAAUUUAGAUCUAAACUUUCAGCACCAAUAAGACAACAACAUCCCUUCUUCUGAAUCGUGGAUAAUUCUGUCCAAAAAAGCCACUGACCUUGACCAAGUCAGUUGAAACUUUACUGAGAUAAAAUCUCAACUUUGUGCAAUACAGUAGACAAUGUCCAAGUCAUCCAUGGGUCAUCAGUAGAGUGAUCAAUGCAGCAUGUAAUCUAGUCAAAUCUACAUAAACAGAGAUGUAGCCAGACAUCUGCAGAGGUGUAGCCAUCACCAUACUCUCCAAAUAACUGAGUAAACAGUAUGACAGAGCUAGUUCAGUUGAUACACAGCUUCCAUCUCUGAAGUCCAACACUGUAGAUACAGAGGCUACUUUACAAGUAAAAUGCAUCUUUUCAAUGGAAAUUGUUUGUAUUGCUGACCUCUUUGAGACAAGAAAUGAAAUUUCACCAGUCAUAAAGGAAUGGGCCUCGAGGAGAGCACUGUGCCAGCACAGCCUGGAUCUGCAGGCUUCCUGCUGCCCUCCUGCUGCUUCCUGCUGCUGUUCAUGGCCCUUGGCUUGCUGCUGUGCAAGUUCUCCUCAGCUAUUUCAAGUUUUUUUUUUUUUUUUUUAGAGAGCAUGAGAAAGAAGGAGAAUAGUGUAGGUUUCACACACCGGUCCUGAUCAGAUGGGUGCAAAGGGAAUACUCCUGUUCCACACAAUGCAGCAGAGACCCAUCUUUUCUCGUGCUGUUGAAGCAUAAACAGAGGUGAUUAGAGUGGGAGCAGGGCUUCUCACUUUCUUAUUCAGAUUCUAAUACAGACAGAUUUUGAUCUUUAGGGGGUGAAAUAAUGAAGAAGAUAACAACAGUAAUUAUGGGUACAGACAGCAAUGCUGAACCAUGAACAUCUCCAUUUUAACACAUAAAUAUUCAGUCGGCUAUCAGAGAAGAAGAGCACAGGUCACAGACCCUUUAGCUUCAUCCCCCUCCUCCACAGCCAAAAGAACACACAAGAAAUAUAUUUAU
ensembl:lncRNA